rnacentral:lncRNA from 10 species
GGGGCACUGCGACGGCGUUGACUGAGGGGGCGCCACUAGGCGCGGUCACGUGCAUUCGCGGUGCAUUCGCGGGGGCGUCGGUGCGGGUCGCGUCUCUUAAGACACCCAGGGAGACAGACGUGGGGCAGAACUCAUGGGCUGAAGUGAGAGAUGGCUGGGGCCCAGGCGAGCGACCGAGCAGGGUCCGAACAGAGCCAGCGAGGGACCCCGGGCUGUGCUUGAGGCCCGACGACGCGCCAUAUCCCGGCAGCGCCGCAGCUCAGGCCUCUGCGAAUCUGUGGUCCACACGCUGAUAAACUUAGAGGCCUCUGCACUGGGGCAGAAACCGAAAGGCAUGACCCAGACCGAGAAAGAUAUUUGCAUACUGAGAAAGUGUGAAACACAAUUGUCGAGACUAAAAGGAGACACUGAGAGGAUACGCCAAUCAGGUCAGCAUGUCCACCUGCACACAGGACAGCUCCAUGUGACAUCCCACAGG